rnacentral:rRNA from 1 species
GACCAGACUCCUACGGGAGGCAGCAGUGGGGAAUAUUGCACAAUGGGGGGAACCCUGAUGCAGCGACGCCGCGUGAGUGAAGAAGUAUUUCGGUAUGUAAAGCUCUAUCAGCAGGGAAGAAGAUGACGGUACCUGACUAAGAAGCCCCGGCUAACUACGUGCCAGCAGCCGCGGUAAUACGUAGGGGGCAAGCGUUAUCCGGAUUUACUGGGUGUAAAGGGAGCGUGGACGGCAGGGCAAGUCUGGAGUGAAAGCCCGGGGCCCAACCCCGGGACUGCUUUGGAAACUGCCAUGCUGGAGUGCUGGAGAGGUAAGCGGAAUUCCUAGUGUAGCGGUGAAAUGCGUAGAUAUUAGGAGGAACACCAGUGGCGAAGGCGGCUUACUGGACUGUAACUGACGUUGAGGCUCGAAAGCGUGGGGAGCAAACAGGAUUAGAUACCCUCGUAU